rnacentral:rRNA from 1 species
GACGAACGCUGGCGGCGUGCUUAACACAUGCAAGUCGAACGGUGAAGCGCCUUCCUUUUUGGUGGGUGUGGAUGAGUGGCGAACGGGUGAGUAACACGUGAGUAACCUGCCCCCUUCUUCUGGAUAACCGCAUGAAAGUGUGGCUAAUACGGGAUAUUCUGGGUCUGUCGCAUGAUGGGUCUGGGAAAGAUAUUGUUUCGGUGGGGGAUGGGCUGGCGGCCUAUCAGCUUGUUGGUGGGGUGAUGGCCUACCAAGGCGGUGACGGGUAGCCGGCCUGAGAGGGUGGACGGUCACACUGGGACUGAGGCACGGCCCAGACUGCUACGGGAGGCAGCAGUGGGGAAUAUGGCACAAUGGGCGCAAGCCUGAUGCAGCGACGCCGCGUGAGGGAUGGAGGCCUUCGGGUUGUGAACCUCUUUCGCCAGUGAAGCAGGCCUGCCUCGUUUGUGGGUGGGUUGACGGUAGCUGGAUAAGAAGCGCCGGCUAACUACGUG